AGAGUUUGAUCAUGGCUCAGAGCGAACGCUGGCGGCAGGCCUAACACAUGCAAGUCGAGCGCCCCUCCUUCAAGCGAGCUUGGAGGAUUGCGGAGCGAGCCUUUAGGGGCUCGCUUGAUGGAGGGGAGCGGCAGACGGGAGAGUAACACGUGGGGAACGUACCCUUUGGUUCGGAACAACCCAGGGAAACUUGGGCUAAUACCGAAUAAGCCCUUACGGGGAAAGAUUUAUCGCCGAAGGAUCGGCCCGCGUCUGAUUAGCUAGUUGGUGAGGUAACGGCUCACCAAGGCGACGAUCAGUAGCUGGUCUGAGAGGAUGAUCAGCCUCACUGGGACUGAGACACGGCCCAGACUCCUACGGGAGGCAGCAGUGGGGAAUAUUGGACAAUGGGCGCAAGCCUGAUCCAGCCAUGCCGCGUGGGUGAUGAAGGCCCUAGGGUUGUAAAGCCCUUUCGGCGGGGAAGAUAAUGACGGUACCCGCAGAAGAAGCCCCGGCUAACUUCGUGCCAGCAGCCGCGGUAAUACGAAGGGGGCUAGCGUUGCUCGGAAUCACUGGGCGUAAAGCGCACGUAGGCGGAUUGCUAAGUCAGGGGUGAAAUCCUGGAGCUCAACUCCAGAACUGCCUUUGAUACUGGCGACCUUGAGUCCGGGAGAGGUGAGUGGAACUGCGAGUGUAGAGGUGAAAUUCGUAGAUAUUCGCAAGAACACCAGUGGCGAAGGCGGCUCACUGGCCCGGUACUGACGCUGAGGUGCGAAAGCGUGGGGAGCAAACAGGAUUAGAUACCCUAGUAGUCC
rnacentral:rRNA from 1 species